rnacentral:rRNA from 1 species
GUAGGAUAGAAAUAAAUUAUAUUAGUUUAAAGUUAAAUGAGAAGAGAUAAAGAAAGAGGUUAAAUUAUUUUUAUAGGUAAAAUUUGUAAAAUUAAUUAAUUUUUUUAGAUAGAAAAUUGAAGCUUUUAAAAUUGGAGUGGAGACUAGGAUUAGAUACCCUAUUAUUCUAAUUGUAAAAGUAUAGGCUGGAGUAGUAUUAGUUAAGUUCUUGAAACUCAAAGAAUUUGGCGGUGUCUUAGUCUUUUCAGAGGAAUCUGUCCUAUAAUUGAUAUUACACGUUAAAUGUUACUUAAUUUGGUAUAAUCAACUUGUAUACCGCCGUCAUCAGAUCAUCUUUUUAGAGAGAGAAUUUUCUUAAUAUUGUAAGAUAAUAUGUCAGGUCAAGGUGCAGUUUAUAGUUAAGAAGGAGAUGGAUUACAAUAAAUUUAUUUAAAUGGAUUCCUUGCUGUGAGGUGAGGCUGAAGGUGGAUUUGAAGGUAAUUUUGUUAAAUUAUGAUAAAAUGAUUGAAGCUCUAGGACAUGUACACAUCGCCCGUCGCUCUCGUUAUUAAGAUGAGAUAAGUCGUAACAUAGUAGUCGUAUUGGAAAAUGUGGCUAGAAAGUCAA